AGUGAUAUGACUGAAAUUAAGUGAUAAAUUGUAAAUUUAUUUAUAGAAUAAGAAUAUUCUUAUUACUA
rnacentral:tRNA from 1 species